rnacentral:rRNA from 1 species
CUACGGGCGGCUGUAGUGGGGAAUAUUGGACAAUGGGGGAAACCCUGAUCCAGCAAUGCCGCGUGUGUGAAGAAGGCCUGCGGGUUGUAAAGCACUUUCGGUUGGGAGGACUGCUUCUAGCACUAAUAUUGUUGGAAGUUGACGUUACCUUCAGAAGAAGCACCGGCUAACUCCGUGCCAGCAGCCGCGGUAAUACGGAGGGUGCAGGCGUUAAUCCGAAUUACUGGGCGUAAAGCGCGCGUAGGCGGCUAGAUCAGUCGGGUGUGAAAGCCCCGGGCUUAACCUGGGAACUGCAUCCGAUACUGUCUUGCGUGAGUACAGGAGAGGAGAGUGGAAUUCCACAUGUAGCGGUGAAAUGCGUAGAUAUGUGGAGGAACACCAAUGGCGAAGGCAGCUCUCUGGCCUGAUACUGACGCUGAGGUGCGAAAGCGUGGGGAGCAAACAGGAUUAGAUACCCGGGUAGUC